rnacentral:tRNA from 1 species
GCUAGUGUAGCUUAAUUUAAAGCAUAGCACUGAAAAUGCUAAUAUGAAAAAUGAAAAUUUUCCCCAAGCA